rnacentral:lncRNA from 1 species
GCGGCCAGCACGCCCUAAAACAGCUGUCAGCAGCUGCAACCAGGGCAUCCCUCCCCCAGCCCCACUGCCCUGGAACUACCUGCCUCCAGGUGGGCGCAGCCCUCACCCACCUCCCAGCUUUGCCUGCCUCCAGGCCCUGAGGACAGCCCCUCUCCUGCCCUCCUCCUGACCUUGAGCUUCCCCUAGAAAUGCCUAGAAAAGCCGGCCGAUCCGGGCUUCCUACUGGCGAUGCCUGUGUGGGUAGCCGGUCUGCCCUCACUGCUGGCCGGCAGCCAGCUCUCAGACACUUACGACAGAAGAAGAAGGGACCGCCUUUGCCACCCCUAAUUCAAGCCAAGAAAAUACCUCCUUGUCUCUCUCUGGGCAGGUCCUGCAGAGCCUAGAAGUGACGAGCACACUAGCUGGCCCCCAGCACCCCCGUGAAGCGAUCGGAGGAACUUCAAUCCCCGCCUCCCACCUCCAGGCUGCAGGCCCCAUUCGCCCUCGGCUGCCAACUCCCUUCUGGACCGGCCGAACUCGGGAACCAGUGACCUGCAGACCUGCAGAGAUGUCUCCCUCUGAGUCCUUAACCUAUACCCCCAUCAGUGGGCCAGAAAGGGAGGCAGUGACUUGCCCAAGCCUCAGGGAGGGCUGAGAACAUCAAGCUGGGCUCCUCACCCUCGCUAGGUUACCCGGUGUCCCCUCAUCGGUGCCAGAGUGACCUUGGAACCUUCCGGUGGCCCUCCCUGGGGGCUGUCAUUAAGCAGCGAUAAAUUCCCUAAUCGACACCCCCUUGUCCAAAUACCCACCCUACACACAGCCAGCCCUGAGGCACAGACUGCAUAAGCCACUGCUCCCCACUGUGUGACAAGGCCUCCAGGUGUGGGUCCAGUUUGGGGUCUGCUGGUGCCCAUCCCCUGGGACAGAUGGGGACAAUCCCCUCUACCCUCACACCUUCUGAAGACACCCCUCCGCCCCAACCCUGCUCCUAGCAUCAUCGGAGACUUCCACAUUUUCAAAUUCUUUCUGGAAUCAACGGAUGCCUGAAUAAAUACAUUUUAAUUGCAUUUGUCAUGUAAAUAAGAUUUCUCAGGCCACUGAUCUGGCCAUUUACAUGCAAAAAUUCUGCUUUUACACAUCUGUCUAUCCACAUAUUUUUAUGUAGAAAUAGUUGUAGCCGGCCAGGUAGCUUGCUGGAUGGAUGGAUAGAUGAGUCACCAGGUAAACAGAUCGA